rnacentral:rRNA from 1 species
UGGGGAAUAUUGGACAAUGGGCGAAAGCCUGAUCCAGCCAUGCCGCGUGUGUGAAUAAGGUCUUCGGAUUGUAAAGCACUUUAAGUUGGGAGGAAGGGCAGUAAGCGAAUACCUUGCUGUUUUGACGUUACCGACAGAAUAAGCACCGGCUAACUCUGUUCCAGCAUCCGCGGUAAUACAGAGGGUGCAAGCGUUAAUCGGAAUUACUGGGCGUAAAGCGCGCGUAGGUGGUUCGUUAAGUUGAAUGUGGAAGCCCCGGGCUCAACCUGGGAACUGCAUCCAAAACUGGCGAGCUAGAGUAGGGCAGAGGGUGGUGGAAUUUCCUGUGUAGAGGUGAAAUGCGUAGAUAUAGGAAGGAACACCAGGGGCGAAGGCGACCACCUGGGAUCAGACUGACACUAAGGUGCGAAAGCGUGGGGAGCAAACAGG